AUGCUGCCCAAGUUCCACCCCAACAAGAUCAAAGUCGUGUACUUGAGGUGCAUUAGAGGAUAGGUCAGUGCCACAAUCACCUUGGCCCCAAGAUUGGUCCUCUGGGUCUGCCUCCAAAAACAGUUGGUGAUGAUGUUGCCAUGGUUACUGGUGAUUGGAAAAGUCUCAGGAUUGCUGUGAAACUGAUCAUCCAGAACAGGCAGGCCCAGACUGAGGUGGCACCCUCUGCCUCUACCCUGAUCAUCAAAGCCGUCAAGGAAGAGCAAGAGACAGGAAGAAGCAGAAGAACACUAACACAGUGGGAAUGUCACCUUUAGUGAGACUGUCAAUGUUGCCCACCAGAAGUGAUGCCCAUGUUUGGGCAGAGAACUUUCAGGAACUAUCAAGGAGACCCUAGGUACUGCACAGUCUGUAGGCUGCAAUGUGGAUGGCUGCCACCCUCAUGACAUCGUAGAUGAUGUCAACAGUAGUGCCAUGGCAUGCUCAGCUAGU
rnacentral:lncRNA from 1 species